GUCACCCAGGAAGGAACACACCAGGCUCGUUGGCCCUGGUUGACACUGUUGGAAGCAGCUUGGAGAAAGGGCUUGGACCUGGGGCAGCAGCAAGGGACAGGAGGUCCCUUAGGCCUAUGGAGGAAGCUCUGUG